GGAAGAGAAGCAAUGGAUGACACCUGGUGUCUCAAACAAUUCCUCUCAUUUUACUGUCUCACUUUCCAAAAGCGGUCGAGAGAGAAAUUUCAUAUCAAAUGAAUAUAAUGUUUCAAAUUAAAGGUGAAGAAAACGUUGUUUAUUACACUAUAGAAUAGAAGGGAUGAAGUAAUUAUAAUACUAAUAUUGUGUAAGCAAGUCGUCUAGAGACUUCAAUAUUAUGCCAUGUGUAGUGUGGAUACCUCAAUGGAAGCAUCCAUGUGAAUGUGUAUGCAUAUAAGUAUAUACGGUACCCAAAGAGGUCUGGGCACAACAUAUAUAUAUGUGUAUAUAUAUAUAUAUACAUUCAGUUGCGUCAAAUGAAGUUAGAUACUAUAAAUGAUCACUACACAUAUAUAAUCAUUCUCAAGAGACAACAGGAAGCAACUCAUGAUAUACACAACCAUCAACUUCAGUUGAUCAUGAGGGAAGGAUUGCCAUGAAGAGUUCAAAUUCUCCUCCAUCAAUACGUACCUCGCUUCACGGUCAGAGAAUCUGUUCAAAUUUUAUUAAGUUUGAAUUAUGGGAAACGUGAAUAGACAAGUAGCAGAACUCAUACAUGUAUGUAAAAAUAAAAUAUAGAUUCUUUGGUCGAGGACUCUACCAGCCUUUUUGUUUUUCUUUAGAUUUCAUCAAUCAUUAUAUGUAAUUUUGUAUGAAUUAAUUACUAAUAGUUUCCAUAUACUCCUCCCUAACACAAUAUAAUUCCCCUUCACUGGGACAUGUAUCUACAAGUUAAUAAUUUGUACAUAAAAAAUUAAUACAAAUUUUGAAGCAAAAUUAUUGGAUUACUAAACUCAUACUAAUUCAUAUCCUAGUAGUAUGGUUUUCUGAUUUUAUAUAGUACAAGUAGCAAUAAACCUGCUUCUUUUUCAACCAAACUUAAAUAUAUUUCGUAGAGAUAAGUUAUUAAAUGGUUAAUAUAUAAUUAAAGAGAAAAGCAAUAAUUUUAUAUAAUGUAGGAAGAACCUCACUAUCAUAAUUCAUAGUAGUAAGAAGAAAAAUGAAUGGAAAGGGCAGGUGGCAUCAGAUUCUAUGAAUGUAGUGAGUAGUAUAUGGAGUAACUAUUAGGUGUAAGCUCCAAUCACAAAUCAAUUCAAUUGUGUGACCUCACCUAACCUAUUUUAUUUUAUUUUAUUUGAUUGAUGGGAGUGGGACCUAAUUUUGAUCUGAACCAUCCACGCGCCCAAUAAACCAUGCUUCUUCCCAUUACAUUAAUUGCCCACCUUCAUGACCAUUCCUUUCUCCGUACAUCCCACUUAUUUAUGGUCGAAAAUAUAAUUAAAUAAUAAAAAUAUGACAUUUUAAUUGCUUAAAUGUUCAAAUGAGAUUGUCAUAUAUCAAAACAAGUAUUUCACUGCUAUCCAAAAUUUAAAAGAAUUUUUACAUGUCCUGAAAUCGAAUUUCGCCAUUACCUAAAAUUAAAAAAAAAAAUCACGUGUUUAACUCAUGAAAAAGAAUAUUAUUUCUAUAAUCACAAUCACUUAGCAUUUGUAUUUUCUAGGAUCUUUGAAAUCAAGUAUACAUCCUUUAUACUUACUUGUUUCAAGUGUUUGACCCAUGAAUAUUAUUUCUAUAAACACAAUCACUUUAGCAUUUGUAUUUUCUGGUAAUUGAAAUCAACUUUUCUAUAAAAUCAUUUACUUGUUUACGCAGUCUAUACAUUCCUUUAUACUUUGUUCCAGAAAUAAUGUUACUUUUUAUAGUUGAGAAUUAUUUAUUUUUCAAACUUUCUUAUUUAUGUU